AAGAGCAAGUUGAUGUUGCUUCUGAUUCUUUUAUGAUGGACUUUGAUAACUUCUCUUCUAGCAAAUCAUAUGUUCCUGCUAAAUCUGACUUGCAAAUCUACUUGGAAGAGCCAUUGAUUCCUCGUGCAACCAACAUUAAUAUUCUAUAUCAUUGGAAAACAAAUGUUGUGAGGUAUCCAAUUCUUUCAAAGAUGGCAAGGGACAUCCUUGCAAUCCCUAUUUCAACAGUAGCUUCAGAAAAUCUGCCUUGGUGGUCGAGUUUUGGACUGCUAUAGAAGCUCUUUGAAACCAAACACAGCAGAAGCUAUCAUUUGCCUCAAAGAUUGGACUUUUGGUGAAGCUAAUAUGGAUCCGCAAUUGCAAGAUUUAUGUGGAAAAAUCAUGGCCAUGAAAGUCAACGAUGAUGUGGGGGAUACUCCCAGUCCCAGCCCUCCCAAAGUGCACCAGAAAGUCCUGCUGUCAUGGAGAGUCAAACCUGAUUAUGUUGUUAAUUUCUUCUAAAAUUAGUUGAUGAAACUGUUACUGUUAUUUUGGACAUGUAUUUGGUUUUCUAGUUGAACUUUUAUUUGCCUACUUGGAAGUAUUUUGGACAUGUAA